rnacentral:rRNA from 1 species
CUGGAUAAGUCUUUACGGAGAAAGCUUUAUGCACCAUUGGAUGAGCCUGCACUUGAUUAGUUUGUUGGUGGGGUAAUGGCCUACCAAGACUUUGAUCAAUAGCUGAUUUGAGAGGAUGAUCAGCCACAUUGGGACUGAGACACGGCCCAAACUCCUACGGGAGGCAGCAGUGGGGAAUCUUGCACAAUGGAGGAAACUCUGAUGCAGCGAUGCCGCGUGAGUGAAGAAGGCCCUUGGGUUGUAAAGCUCUUUCGUCGGGG